CUUUCCUCAUCGUAAUCUCUGUUUCUCUGUCUUUUUUUUCUUUUUUUCACUUCCUCAGUACUAUCUUUCUGACUUGCUUUUACCAUUAUGCUUUUAGCCUGCAAUGCUGUUUGUCUUUCUGCUUCUCGUUCUCAUUUCCUAUAACCAUCCCAGUCUUUUUCUCUUUCUUUGUCUUCUCAAACUCUAACUUUUCUCUACAUUCUUGUAACUUCCUUUCACUCUGGGUUGCUUUUAGUGGAAAAUCAGCUAUUUUAUGCCACAGAACAACCUGGUCUACAACACCGCGACCCCAUUUAUCAGCUAUCGUUUGUCCCGGUCCAACCAGCGCGUCCGGGAGACAGACCUCCUUUUUACUAUUACUUGACCUCAUUGUAAUCAAACCCACACGCGCACACACACACAAUUAUCAGAUAACACUCAUUCACUCACUCAUUCACACGGUUAUCUGUCGUCCACACUAUAUCACUGCCUAUUUUUAUUUGCACCACCUGCACAGAAAAAUAACUUUUCUUAAUUGACCAUCCAACAGUGCACUUGGUAUAUUGAUCAACUACACUAGUAGUAUGACUUUUUUUUUUUUUUUUUAAACUGUGCAUUUAAUUUUUUCAAUUGUUAUUUUUAGUUCAAUAUUUGGUAUUUCAUACGAUAUCUUUUUAACUAGUUUCAUUUGUAAUUACUUAUUAGUAUUAUUCAUAGAUCAGUCAAAUCACUUAAUUUACCUGUUUCCGGAUCAGGAUUUCUAUGUCUUAGACAACAAAGUUCCCAGAACUUUUCUGCGCAGCCCGUUCCCAGAACGGGUUUUAUCAGGUUCCCAGAACCUGAACCACGUGGUCUCUUUUUUUGUCCUCUAGACAAUAGAGUUCCCAGAACUCUUUCUGCGCAGCCCGUUCCCAGAACGGGUUUUAUCAGGUUCCCAGAACCUGAACCACGUGGUCUACCUUUUUGUCCUCUAGACAAUAGAGUUCCCAGAACUCUUUCUGCGCAGCCCGUUCCCAGAACGGGUUUUAUCAGGUUCCCAGAACCUGAACCAAUUGGUCUAUUUUAUGUAUGAGGAAAACCAGUCUCACCCUUUGUCUUUGUUCGGUACGGCGUAUCCGUCCACCGAUGCUCCCAGCCGGGUUCAAGGCGGGUCCUUCUCCUCCGAAACUAUUUCAGAGUGUGGUUCCCUGAGCCACUCCUAAGCAGCCCCCGUGCACGGUUAACCUCAAAGUCCCCGGGAGCAAUCGGAAAACGGAGCUAGCCGUCCCAUCUGGGUCGCCAAGAAUUGUCGUGGAAAUUCUAAUAAAGGAAGCGAGACUGCGAAUUCCAAACACACAGGCCUUUAUUUCUUAAGUUUGCAAACUGAGAACACUCUCAGCACACAGGGUGCUAGAUAAUCAUCGAGCAGUGUUCCAACAUACAGAGUUGGAUCAGUUUCUUAUAUACCUUAAAAUUGUCAGCAAGGCAGAGGGUUAGCCAAUGAUGAUUCAGGUAUUAGCAUAUAAGAGAAAACUUAUAACUAUGCAUACUUGGCAUAAAACUAAGCAAGCAGAUAAAAAGGAUGGGUGGUUUGGGUAUACGUGCAAAAAGACACGUCUGGCUCAUCCUUUUUUCUCACAGCCGCAGCUGCAGUGUAGGCAUCUUGCGGUUCCUUAUCUUUAGCAAGGCAUGCAAGGUUAUGGGAGAACAAAAUGCCAGUACAUUAUGUCGAGUCAGUUCUAUUUUCUGUAACAUUUCUAUAACACCUCGCUGACCAAUGGGGACGAGACGGGGCGUACAAAAGGGGGCGUGGCCCAGGGUUCUGUUCCUUCUGGCAAGGUACAGUGUGUGUGAGAGAGAGAGAGAGAGCGCGAGCGAGAGCGCAUUUUUACUGCAGUGUAUACGAGCAGGGGAAUAAAUAAACGGAAUCAGGAGAGUUCUUAUUGUGUGUUUGAAUAUACCUGCUAACCCCUUCACCCUUUGUCUGUCCAUAGAGCACUGACGGGACGCUCCGGGAAUACUUUGGAGGAGCGCGGACCCGGAAGUGCCGGACUGUGUGCAGUAAUUCAUCUCGGGGGGAGUGAGGAAGGACGGACUGUGUUUUUGUUUGAUUGUCCUUGCGUUUUGGUUUCAUUUUCAUUUGGGACUGCAACCCCUUUCUUUCCCUUUGUUUGUCGGGCUACACAUUGUUGUGUAUCCCGGCGCUAUUAUUAUUAUUAUUAUUAUUAUUAUUAUUAUUAUUAUUGUUGUUUGACCGGGUUACACAUUGCUGUGUAUCCCGGCGUUAUUAUUGUUGGAUUUUUUCCGUGUUGUGGAUUAAAAACCCGGAGUUUUUACCAACAAACCUGGACUGGUCUAGCGAUCUUUUACACCACACCCUCAGCCAACCUGUCAUCGUGGGAUGGAUCCAGCCAGUUUUGCGGCGGUGUUGGAGGCUUUGGACAGCCGAAGGGAGGUUGAGGAACGGAGGAGGGAGGAGCGAUACACGGCCCUUAUCGAGAGGGUCGGGAUGGGGAUGACGUCAGCAGCAACAACGGGCCCCGUGAUGGUUGCCCCGAAGGCCCGGGCCCAGAAAAUGACGGUGGAGGAUGACCCCGAAGCCUACCUCGUGGCAUUCGAGCGGCUGGCCACCACCGCAGCCUGGCCCCGGGAGUACUGGGCGAGCCAACUGGGCCCUUGCUUGAUUGGGGAGGCGCAAGCCGCAUAUCGGGCUAUGACUGAUGAAGACGCGGCCCAGUACGACUUGGUGAAGCAGGCUAUCCUCCGCCGUCUGAACAUCACGGGGGAGACCCACCGGGUCAGAUUCAGGGAGUUCCGGCGGCCACCAAACACACGACCCAGGGUGGUGGCCCAACGGCUAUGCGACCACAUGGCGCAAUGGCUAAACCCCAGCCAGAAAACUGGGGUUCAGAUGGGGGAAGCCAUUGUCAUGGAACAGUUUUGCCAUGUGGUCGGAGGCGAAACGCAGGCCUGGAUACGCCGGCACAACCCCACCACCCUGGACCAGGCCGUAGCACUGGCCGAGAACUUCGAGGACUCCCUCAUGUCCGCCCAGACCACCUUGCUGAACUACCCCUCCUCCUCCGUUACUAAGGGACCACCACCAAACCCCCCCGGACCAAGACCUGCCAGACCACCGGCCCCGUCGGGCCAUCCAAGCUCCUUACCAUGGAGGCAGAGGUUGGCUCCCAGCUGGGGUAGAAUGGUUUCCCCCGCCCCGCUGUCAUACCAGCAGCGGGACAAGUAUGUACCGCCCUUGCCCUCUGCCCCACCAGUCUGUUUUAGGUGCCAGCAGCCGGGACACAUCGCCAGAUACUGCCCGGCCGCCAUGGAGUGCGACGUGGCUGCGUGUCAUCUGGCAUCAGAGACAGGUAAGGAAUGGGGAAAUGGUCGGGAGGGCCCGUGUGUUGUUGAUGUUGUGCUGGGGAAGGUGAAAACCCACGCGUUAGUGGACACCGGGUGUGAGCAGACUUUGAUUCGGACAGCUCUCCUUGGCGGUAUGUCGUGGCAGCCACGAGGUCAGGUGGCGAUCUCCUGUAUCCAUGGAGAUACGGCGACAUACCCCACCCUAAAAGUAUAUCUGUCGGUAGGACCGAUAAAGCGCCACCUAGUAGUGGGGGUGGCCGAAAAGUUGCCACACCCAAUCAUUCUGGGCCGAGACUGGCCGCGAUACAAGGAUUUAGUAAAAAUAUCGGCAGCCUCGACCACACGUGUAGGCACGGCAGACCCCCGGGAAAAGGAAGUAAUUGGCACCAUGUUCCCUUUCCAUGCAGAACUGUUUUCUCCACUUUUUCGUCCUAGGAAAACGCACAAGGAGAGACGGAGGGAAAAGUGGGAGGGCGCAUCGAUCCGACACGGUUGGUGCCUGGCGGGGGAAGGUUGUGAUGGUCCCAAACGCCAAUCGAAGGGGGUGGGCACCCAGUGUGACCAGACGGGCGAGGUUACUGGACCCUUGAGGGUAGAGACUGCUCCAGCCCCUGUCAAUAUCCCGGACGUGUGGGCCUCAAGCGCGGACCUAGUGUGGGAGCAGAACAACGAUCCCACACUGGUGCACGCUUGGGAACAGGUUCGGUCUAUUGAGGGUAAGGAUGUUGACGGCAUCGGGACGCUGGUAUAUCCCCAUUUUGUGGUGGAGGGGCACUUACUGUAUAGGGUAAACCCAGCCCCGGGCACAGGACAGCCUGUCAAACAGUUGAUGGUUCCCCCGUCUUGUCGACCAGAGGUCAUGAGGCUGGCGCAUGACGUCCCCUUUGCAGGACACCUUGGUGUUGACAAGACGAGGGACCGGAUACUGACUCGAUUUUAUUGGGCCGGACUCUACACCGAAGUGGCGAAAUAUGUAGCUACCUGCCCGGAAUGCCAGAGAGUAGCACCGGGUCGAAUGCGCCCCGCCCCUUUGGUCCCACUGCCUAUUGUCUCCACUCCCUUCGAACGCGUUGCAAUGGACAUAGUUGGGCCAGUGCUGCCUUCUGAUUCCGGGUACACGCACAUAUUAGUGAUGGUGGAUUAUGCGACGCGGUACCCGGAAGCAGUUCCUUUGCGGUCCACUAGUGCCACUGCAAUUGCGAAAGAAUUAAGUCAGAUUAUGGCUAGAGUAGGGAUCCCAAAAGAAAUAUUAACUGAUCACGGAACGAACUUUUUGUCCAAAACGCUACAGCAGGUGUAUAAAAUUCUAAAAAUACGUCCCAUCAGGACGUCCGUUUAUCAUCCCCAAACGGAUGGCCUGGUGGAACGUUUUAACCAAACAUUGAAGCACAUGUUGAGACGGUUUGUGAGUCAGGAGCAAAAACAUUGGGCUACUCUUCUUCCUUACCUACUCUUCGCAGUGAGAGAGGUGCCUCAGAGCUCAACGGGAUUUUCCCCCUUUGAGCUGUUAUAUGGCCGGCAGCCACGGGGCAUCCUCGAUCUGUUGAGAGAAGGGUGGGAAGAACAUAAAAGCUUGUCUAAAAAUGUAGUGCAGCAUGUGCUCCUACUGCGGGAUCGCCUUGAUUUAAUCGGUCGGUUGGCUCAAGACAACCUUAGAUCGGCUCAACAUCGGCAACAGCAGCAUUACAAUACUAAUGCACAAAUUCGAACUUUUCGGCCAGGAGAUAAGGUAAUGCUGCUUCUUCCGUCGUUGGAGUCAAAGCUGUGUGCUAAAUGGCAGGGGCCAUAUGAAGUGAUACGGGCAGUAGGAUUAGUGAAUUACGAAAUUAGACAGCCUGAUCGCCGAAAUAAAACGGAAAUUUACCAUGUCAACUUAUUAAAGCCCUGGAAGGCAAGGGAGGUCUUAUUCAUAGCCCCAGGCGAGAUGGAGGAUGACUUAGGACCCUGCAUAGAGGCCCCUAGCCCCAGCCAGAUUUCAAUGGGGGAACAGUUACUUCCGGAUCAGCAGGUGGAAUUGCGUAAGUUGAUUGGGAAAUUUGGGGAUGUGUUUUCUGACGUGCCCGGCAGAACUAACCUUACUGAAUAUGCUGUUAUUACUCCGCCAGGGGUCACUGUUCGGGAGAGGCCCUACCGGAUCCCAGAAAGCCGGCGGAGUGGCGUCCAGAACGAGGUGAGGGCGAUGCUUGAACUUGGGGUCAUUGAGCCUUCCAGAAGCGAGUGGUGCAGUCCCAUUGUUAUAGUGGCUAAGAAGGACGGCACUAAUCGCUUCUGUGUGGACUUUCGAAAGGUCAAUGCUAUCGCCAAGUUCAAUGCCUACCCCAUGCCUCGGAUCGACGAACUCCUCGACCGACUGGGAACGGCCAGGUUUAUCUCAACUCUGGACCUGACGAAGGGAUAUUGGCAGAUCCCUUUGACCCGCAAUUCCUGUGAAAAAACGGCAUUUUCAACUCCGGAUGGGCUGUUCCAUUUUAAAACCAUGCCGUUUGGGCUACAUGGUGCGCCCGCCGCCUUUCAGAGACUGAUGGACGAGGUGUUACAUCCCCAUCGUGAGUAUGCAGCAGCGUAUAUUGACGAUGUGGUUAUAUAUAGCUCCACCUGGAGAGAGCAUGUAAUUCGACUUACAGCCGUCCUUCAGUCUCUAAGGGCGGCCCGGCUGACAGCCAACCUAAGGAAAUGUGCGUUUGCUAAAUUAGAGACCCAGUACCUAGGAUUUAUCAUGGGAAAUGGACGGGUGAAACCCGUGGCCACCAAAGUCCAGGCUUUGGUGGACGCGGCGGUCCCCAAAACCAAGUCCCAGGUGAGGUCACUAUUGGGAUUGGCUGGUUAUUACCGCCGCUUUAUCCCCGAGUAUGCCACCGUGGUCAAUCCCCUGGUAGACCUCACUAAAAAGUGUGCACCAAAUUUAGUUAAGUGGUCAGCAGAGUGUCAGGGAGCGUUUGAGACCAUUAAACAAAAACUGUGCCAGGCUCCUGCGCUAAUAUCACCAGAUUUUAGCAAGAGAUUCUUCCUCCAUACCGACGUGUCAGAGGUUGGUUUGGGGGCGGUCUUGUCUCAGCGAGUUAACGGGGUGGAGCACCCGAUUCUUUACAUUAGUAAGAAAAUGCUUCCUCGGGAGCGCAAUUACUCGGUGGUAGAGAAAGAGUGCCUAGCCAUUAAAUGGGCCACCCACUCCCUCAGAUAUUACUUGAUGGGACAUUCAUUUGAUCUGGUCACGGACCACGCCCCACUCAGAUGGUUAAGCACUAUGAAGGAUAGCAAUGCCCGAAUAACUCGGUGGUAUUUGGCAUUGCAGCCUUAUAUGUAUCAUAUGGUACAUCGUGCAGGGAAAGAUCACCAAAAUGCGGAUUAUUUUUCCCGGGAGGGGGGAGUAAUGGGAAUGGUAGAUUUGGCCGAGUGUUCCUUCGGCUCCACUCUGAGCGGUGGGAUAUGUGAAAAAGAGAGAGUGAACUCUUGUUUUAGAUCUCCCUUCCGACCGGUGAGGACGCUGGGGAGGAGGAGCAGACAGAGCCGCGGUGCGCAACGUCACAGACCCGGUCGGGAAGCGCGGUGGCAAUCGCGCAUUGGCUGACGGCGGUUGCUCUCGCUGACCAAUGGGGACGAGACGGGGCGUACAAAAGGGGGCGUGGCCCAGGGUUCUGUUCCUUCUGGCAAGAGCACUGACGGGACGCUCCGGGAAUACUUUGGAGGAGCGCGGACCCGGAAGUGCCGGACUGUGUGCAGUAAUUCAUCUCGGGGGGAGUGAGGAAGGACGGACUGUGUUUUUGUUUGAUUGUCCUUGCGUUUUGGUUUCAUUUUCAUUUGGGACUGCAACCCCUUUCUUUCCCUUUGUUUGUCGGGUUACACAUUGUUGUGUAUCCCGGCGCUAUUAUUAUUAUUAUUAUUAUUAUUAUUAUUAUUAUUAUUGUUGUUUGACCGGGUUACACAUUGCUGUGUAUCCCGGCGUUAUUAUUGUUGGAUUUUUUCCGUGUUGUGGAUUAAAAACCCGGAGUUUUUACCAACAAACCUGGACUGGUCUAGCGAUCUUUUACACCACACCCUCAGCCAACCUGUCACACUCAUAUUGGG